GCUUUUGAAGCUCAGUGGUUGACAAGCUGUUAAGCUUGAAAGGAGUAGGUUCAAAUCCUAUCAAAAGCG
rnacentral:tRNA from 1 species